AGUGAACGCUGGCGGUAGGCCUAACACAUGCAAGUCGAACGGCAGCACAGUAAGAGCUUGCUCUUCCGGGUGGCGAGUGGCGGACGGGUGAGGAAUACAUCGGAAUCUACUUUUUCGUGGGGGAUAACGUAGGGAAACUUACGCUAAUACCGCAUACGACCUACGGGUGAAAGCAGGGGAUCUUCGGACCUUGCGCGAUUGAAUGAGCCGAUGUCGGAUUAGCUAGUUGGCGGGGUAAAGGCCCACCAAGGCGACGAUCCGUAGCUGGUCUGAGAGGAUGAUCAGCCACACUGGAACUGAGACACGGUCCAGACUCCUACGGGAGGCAGCAGUGGGGAAUAUUGGACAAUGGGCGCAAGCCUGAUCCAGCCAUACCGCGUGGGUGAAGAAGGCCUUCGGGUUGUAAAGCCCUUUUGUUGGGAAAGAAAAGCAGCAGGUUAAUACCCCGCUGUUCUGACGGUACCCAAAGAAUAAGCACCGGCUAACCUCGUG
rnacentral:rRNA from 1 species